UUCUUCUUCUUCUCCUUCGUCAAUGAAGAACUAAUUGAGUAAUCUCUUUCUGAAAUCUGAAUCCACGUAAAUGCAGAAGAACUUCAGUCUACUGCAAACAGUUGCCACUGCAGGCGUCUUCUCUGCAGUUUCUUUCUGGUAUGGAUUCAUGUUCGGCAGAGAGUCUGCUCGCAAGGAGCUGGAAAGCUUGAUUGAUAGUCUUCGCCGUAACAACAACUCUGAUUUGAGCUCAACUCCUCCAUAUUCCUGAAUCAGGUCUUAUCUUAUGGUUGGCUUAUCAGAUCUCCCAUGUCCAUCCCUUGUUCUUGCAACAUAUGAUUACAGUAAGAUCAUGUUCUCGUUCUGAAUAACCUGAUGGAAAACGAUAAGCUUAUUCCUUGAAGUAAAAAUACUCCCCGUCUCCCUAAUUGUGAAAUUAUAAUCUCCAUUGAUUAAACAAGUAACAAAUGAUGAUACUUGUUUGGGAGUAUUUUUACUCCCGAAAUACCUUUAGUAGUCUAAGCUGAUUGAUUAUUGGAUGUUGGUGGGACUGUAUAAACUUUUGUCAAAUAGAACAUAGAACUUUUUUUUUUUUUUUUUAUGCUGGCA